rnacentral:rRNA from 1 species
UACGUAGGGAGCAAGCGUUGUCCGGAUUUAUUGGGCGUAAAGAGCUCGUAGGCGGCUUAGCAAGUCGGGUGUGAAACCUCCAGGCUCAACCUGGAGACGCCACUCGAUACUGCUAUGGCUUGAGUUCGGUAGGGGACCAUGGAAUUCCUGGUGUAGCGGUGAAAUGCGCAGAUAUCAGGAGAAACACCGAUGGCGAAGGCAGUGGUCUGGGCCGAUACUGACGCUGAGGAGCGAAAGCAUGGGGAGCGAACAGG